rnacentral:rRNA from 1 species
GACGGGACCCGCACAAGCGGUGGAUGAUGUGGAUUAAUCGAUGCAACGCGAAAACCUUACCUACCUUGACAUGUCCGGAAUCCCGAAGAGAUUUGGGAGUGCUCGCAAGAGAGCCGGAACACAGGUGCUGCAUGGCUGUCGUCAGCUCGUGUCGUGAGAUGUUGGGUUAAGUCCCGCAACGAGCGCAACCCUUGUCAUUAGUUGCCAUCAUUUGGUUGGGCACUCUAAUGAGACUGCCGGUGACAAACCGGAGGAAGGUGGGGAUGACGUCAAGUCCUCAUGGCCCUUAUGGGUAGGGCUUCACACGUCAUACAAUGGUCGGUACAGAGGGUUGCCAACCCGCGAGGGGGAGCUAAUCCCACAAAGCCGAUCGUAGUCCGGAUCGCAGUCUGCAACUCGACUGCGUGAAGUCGGAAUCGCUAGUAAUCGUGGAUCAGCAUGUCACGGUGAAUACGUUCCCGGGUCUU